GACGAACGCUGGCGGCGUGCUUAACACAUGCAAGUCGAACGGAAAGGCCUCUUUCGGGGGGUACUCGAGUGGCGAACGGGUGAGUAACACGUGAGUAACCUGCCCUUGACUUUGGGAUAACUUCAGGAAACUGGGGCUAAUACCGGAUAGGAGCUCCUGCUGCAUGGUGGGGGUUGGAAAGUUUCGGCGGUUGGGGAUGGGCUCGCGGCUUAUCAGCUUGUUGGUGGGGUAGUGGCUUACCAAGGCUUUGACGGGUAGCCGGCCUGAGAGGGUGACCGGCCACAUUGGGACUGAGAUACGGCCCAGACUCCUACGGGAGGCAGCAGUGGGGAAUAUUGCACAAUGGGUGGAAGCCUGAUGCAGCAACGCCGUGUGCGGGAUGACGGCCUUCGGGUUGUAAACCGCUCUCGCUCAUGACGAAGCUUUGUGUGACGGUAGUGGGUAAAGAAGCACCGGCUAACUACGUG
rnacentral:rRNA from 1 species